UUAGCCUGUCACUUCCAGUAGAGUUUCAUUUAUUAGAGAUGAUGAUUGGCUGAGGGAUAAAGCACAGGGGUGAGACCCCCACGUCCCCUCUCAGCAGGUGGGAGACGCGGCAAAGGGAGACUCUCACCUGCUGAAAGCUCCCCUGCCUCGUGUAAUGACCCAAUUAGGCUGGGCUUGUUUUUCCCCGCUUUAAACGUUGAUUAUCCUACAAGUGUUUUCGCACUUGUAGGCACUGCUAGGCUUUCAGUCCUUAAUGGUCAUUGUGUGCGCCACCUUGGAUAUAAACAUAUAGCCUACAGUUCAUCCAUACAGUUCAUCUCUACACGAUCUGCUAUGUUACAACAAAAUCUUCAAUGUGUUUUGUUGCAAUUUUUGUGGUGGACAAAGAAAUAAAUGGAAGAAAACCUGCCCUGCAGCCACAGAGAUUCACAGUAACUUUGGAGGGAGCUGGAGAGAUCCACAGCUCAGUUAGGAGGACAACUGCUGUCCUUGUUGAAAGACGUCCUGUCUAAAGCUUAUCCCGGACCUGGAAGGAGAGCAGCAAAUAUGAGGAAGAACAAUCUGGAUUGCCUUGGUCCGGUGGAGGUUGAGCCUUGCCGCUGGUUUCCUGGCUGGAGCUGAAAUGGAUCCCUCUCUCUCCAAUCAGCUGUCCUGAAGUCUCCGGUCUGGGACAAGGAGACUGGAGAGAGAGUCCACAUACGCUUCUGACCGUUUUGCAUCGAAACAGGAGAAGGGAUCCAAGCUGAUUUCUGCGAGACGACCUGCUGCUGCUCGUC